AAUCCAUGAUGUGGGCAAGCCUUUAACAACUCUUUGUAUCUUUCCCAAGCGUCUAAAAGGGACGCACCAUCAUGUUGAGUGAAUCUGGUAAUUUGGUUACGUAGGAC